GUGGUUAUAGCACGAGGGAUCCACCUCUUCCCAUUCCGAACAGAGAAGUUAAGCCUCGUCACGCCGAUGGUACUGCGUAACAGUGGGAGAGUAGGUAGCCGCCGUUU
rnacentral:rRNA from 1 species